GAUCUAUACUAUUGAGAGAUAUGGUGGAGAGGAUCCUUACUGAUUGCUCACAGUUGCACAUGCAUCUUGUCUCUAUGAAAAAUUCACUCAAAGCUCUGAUCUGAUCGAUCUUCUCGGAAGUGCUAGCUCACGCGAAGACCUUCUUCUUGACUGAUCUGGAUCCUUUCUUCAAAUCUCUAAAAUCUUUACAGAGAUUGAAGAUAUACUUAU
rnacentral:lncRNA from 1 species